GGCACAAGGAGAGAGCGAGUAAGGGUGUGAUGGUAGAACAAGAGAGUCUGCUCUCCACACUAUCACACCUUAUCAUCCUGGCUCUCCGGCUAUGCACCUGCAACCUCUCCUUGGAGCCCCCCUUCUUAUCACCCUCCUCUUUUUUCCGUCCUCCGCCCCGGCGGUCGGACAGAGGUAGUGCGCACUCAGCAGCGGUAGUGCGCAAAGCGGUCGGCAUGCACCUGGAGAGAAACCGCCCCGCCAAGCCGGCCAAGGGCUUAACCAGAGACGCAGCAGGAUGCGGAACGAUGCUCUAACGACAGUGAUAUAGCAGCAGAGCACCGGGUGGAUAUCAGAGCUGCAGCAUGGGCGUGGGAAAGAGGCGCAAUGACAGCGAUGUGAUUCCAUAGACAUAAGAAAAGUGGGUGGGGGGAACCCGAGUUACGUUUGGAGUUGUGCAUUUUAAUGCUUCGAUUUGGUUGCUCUAUCUGAAAUUCAUCAGACACAAUACUUUGUUUCACCUCCCGGUCUACCUUCACCGGAGUUUAAAGGGAUGGAGAAAAGCGCACAGCAGCAGCCCAAAAGCGCAGAGAGACCAGCAGAGGACAUCUCCAAAAUACCCGACGAAGAGCUGCUGAAGUGGGGUAAAGAGGAGCUGGUGAGGCGGCUGCGGAGGGCAGAAGCAGAAAAAAGGGGCGCCAUCGUGGAGCACGGCAAUCUGAUGCGGGAGGUGAACCGGAGACUCCAACAACACCUGAACGAGAUACGGAGUUUGAAGGACGUGAACCAGAAACUGCAGGAGGACAACCAGGAGCUGCGGGACCUGUGCUGCUUCCUGGAUGACGACCGGCAGAAAGGGAAGCGGGUGUCGCGGGAAUGGCAGCGAUUGGGCCGCUACAGCGCUGGCCUGAUGAGGAAGGAAGUUGCUAUCUAUUUGCAGAAGCUUAAGGAGCUGGAGCAGCGACAGAUGGAGGUGAUCCGGGAGAACCUGGAGCUCAAGGAGGUGUGCCUCAUGUUAGAAGAGGAAAGGGCCACAGUUGUGGCUGGAAGCACAGUGGGAACUGCUGGUGGUCAGGGAGGCCCUGGCUGCAGGAGCUCCAUUGACAGUCAAAGCAGUCUGUCUCAGCUGGGCAGUGGCAUGCCUACACCAGGCCUGUUGCGGGAUGUUGGUGAUGGAAGCAGCACCUCCAGCACGGGGAGCACAGACAGCCCAGAUAACCCUCACCAUAAACCCUCCCCUCUUGGCUCCAAUUCAAGCCCUGGAUCUGGCUCAAGAUGCAGCUCUUCAGGACAAAAGAGAGAUGUUUGUGAAUUCAGUGGGAGGAGGCGUAGCUCCACCACGGAGUACCACACCUUUCCCCAGUCCUGCCGGCCCCGUGGAGGGUCCCUCACCAACCUAGAGCCUCACAGCUUUCGAGGACACAGCCCAGAGAAACACAGCAAGUCUCCUAGCAGGCUACCUUGUGACUCCCACUCCAAACCCUGCAGCUCUGACCUACUAGCCCAGAAACAGCUACUGAUGUCAGGACAGGCAUGUCCAGGCAGUGGCAAGGGCUCAGCUAAGUCCAGCCCAGAUCUGAGUCAGCGACACCGACAGGUAAACUCAGCAGGGGCUGGGAGUCCUGAAGCCAAGCAGGUAGCAAUGGGCACACCUGAGCACCUGAGAAAAGGGCACGUCAUUGUGGGAAGUCCAGAGUCUAUACGGCACCACUAUCACUAUCAUCAGAGCCCAGGGGUGGAGCACAGCAAGGGGAAGUAUAGUAGUGGCUCCCCUGGCAGGGAUGGGGGUCACAGGAGACCAGCGGGUGAAGAGAUGACCCCCCACCACCAGAGUCUGUACAACGGUAGGCACAUGCUCUGAUAUCUGCUGGCUGCUGCACCAACUCAUGUAGGAGUGUCAAACUUUGGGACAGCUUUGAUGCUUCCUGACCAUGACAUGCCUCUUGAUGAGAUGCUGCUGUGACAACACGCACCCCAGAGAGAGCAGAAGGGACAAGAGGAUCGAUACAUAACCGGUCGCAUAAAUGAUCAGGCCAAUCAAAACUUCGCAGUGAACAGCGACAACAAACACAAAUAAAUACUUCCUCUGCCUUUUCUGUUGUUGCUGCUACUGAUGCUGCUAUGCAUUUACUGAGGACCACCAGAAAAGACGAAUGUCAUUGUUCAGAUGGGCGAAGAUUUGUCCCUGCAUUGCCAAAAGGAACAGAAGAAAACAAAACAACUGAGAAUCUGCGGUUGCCAAUUAUAAAGCCCUACCUCUUUGGAAAGACAGAGCCCUUAUGGAUAAAAUAAGUUAUAUAUGAAGAGUAGUUGUUCCUGGUAACAGUCAAGGAUACAUUCCUGUCUCUUCACUUUCACACCUGUGAGCAUUUGAAAUUAAAAUGUGUGAAAACGCAGUUUUAGGUAAUGGUAACUACUUUUAGAAAGUAAUUGUGGAUCUGGAAUUGAAGCACAAAAAGUUUACUUUAUCCUCUCAACAUCUGUUAGAUUACCAGUGACAAGUUUGCGGUUAGUAUUAGGUUCAUGUCUACUCUUUGAAAUUGAAAAUCUUAAAACCGUUAGACCAAAAUGCAUGUAAAAGAACUGAUUUGAAAAGCAAUAUUUCCUAGUUUAUGAAACUAUGCUUAUUUAGCAUGUGGCUUAAACCUAAUUAUAACAUUUUCCUCAUUUCGUUCACCUGGUGGAUAAUUUUGAUAGUCUUGGCCAUAAUUGUUAGAAAUUAUAUUUCUAUUCACUACAGAAUUUCUCAAAAUGUAAGACAGGAAACUAAUUUGACAAUUGGCAGUCACAAAGGAUGGGACAAGCCACUUUCGUUUUUGAGUUAGUUAGUUGUUACUACAUACAUCUACUGAGGCACGACCACAGUGUGCAGUAUUAGAGCCUACCAUGUGUAUGCCCUGACUAAAAAAUAUAUAGAAAAAACAUAUGUACCUAUAAUUAUAUACACACAUGUAAUAAAGAAUACACAUAAAACACUAAAAAUACAUAUAACUACAAAAAGUAAUAAAAGCAAAAAUAGAGUAAAAAAAAAAUACAUCAUAACAUCAACACUCAGGUGAUGGGGACAAAAUAUGGUCUCUGUAGGGGCCCCAAAAUGUGAUUGUAAACAUGCUUUUGUCCCCACACAAUGAGUAUUAAAUACACACACACACACACACACAAAAAUAAUGCAGUAAAAACUCUUGCAAACUCUUGCAGUAAGUCACAUUAAUUUCCUGUGAAUUUGUUUUAAAUGUACCUAUUGUUCCUUUCCUUUGUUAUUGUUACAAUUGUGGACACAUAUAUUAAAUACAUAUAAGUUUUAGAUAAUGAGGUCAGUGAAUGAACAAAUAAUUCAAAAGCUCAGUGUUCAGACUGAUUUUCUUUUUCACUUUCACUUUUUUUCUACUCCUGGCCACCACAGGUGCCAUUCAAACUCAUUUCUUUAAAGGAAUACAAUCUCUAAAAGGGUUUAAGGCCCCAUUCACACAUGCCCAGAGAAUGUUUGGAAGCUGCUGGCAAUCACCAGUCGAUAUGAAAAGACGUGUUUUCCUGACCAGUUGGUGAGCGGUUGUGGAAGUUGCUGACUGUUGCUAGCCCUAGAGACUGGCCAGUGACCUUGUGACAACCAUCACCCAUAGUUUUCAUGGAAGCUACUGACUUGUCUGCAAAAACUCACCAACUACUUGUUCAUCUGUAGUGAAACUGUGAAAAAAGCAGCUCAAAGUGGAAACACAAACCAUUUACCUUCAAAUAUAAAAGAUGGAUGUAGUUCUUGGUUUCUAAAGUCCCAUCUUGAAGCGUCAAGGUAAAGAGUUUUGCAAUUGCCAUCUUAGUAUUCUGAAACCACAUUUGAAAAGAUAGACAGGUCUGAUUUUGAAACCCCAUAUCAAUUCAAUUCAAUUUUAUUUAUACAGCGCCAAAUCACAACAACAGUUGCCUCAAGGCCCUUUAUAUUGUAAGGUAGACCCUACAAUAAUACAGACAGAGAAAAACCCAACAAUCAUGUGACCCCCAAUGAGCAAGCAGUUUGGCAAUUCCCUUUGAACACGAAGAAACCUCCGACAGAACCAGGCUCAGGGAGGGGCGGGGCCAUCUGCUGCGACUGGUUGGGGAGAGAGAAGAAAGACAGGACAAAUCAUUCAGGAUACCCCAAAUAAUUUUCUUCUCUAAAACACAGCAUGACUAAGAUUUACCAAAUUUACUUAUUUUAUUUAUUUUUAGUGUGACCCAAAAUGAGCGGAAAAGCCUUUACAGCAGAAAAGGGCUGUAGACUUCCGAAGGAAACUAAGUCUUUUUAACCACAGGUUUGACUCUAUGGUGGACAUUAAAAAGAAAUGCAGGUUUAGGCACUUGCAUGCUGGCUUCACCUUUCAGACCCAGCACCGACAUCCAUCUUUUAUACUGUCAAAAAAAUAGUAAAAAAUAAAUAAAUAUGGAGCUGGAGACGAGCAUAAUAGGUCACUUUCAACCAUAACCACUACUAGCCUAAUCCUGACCUACAACAAACUUAAACCUAAAUUUUGUCUUUCCCUUGUUUUCUCACAUCACUAGUAUGUACUGUUUGUCCUUCACUGGAAACAUGUCCCCAGAAUUCACCGGUGCAAACAAAUUUAUAUCUCUGCAAAAUGUUAUACAAGUACAAUAAUUGUUACAAAAAUAGUGGUCAAAACUUUGAAACUAAAAUUCAUCUUGUAAUAGAAACUAAUUAUACUUGUGUUAAAAAAAAAAAAUCAAGAUCAAUUCCAGAUUCCUCUUACUAUAUUUGGAAGUAUUGUUGAAUUUUUGUGAAAUGAAGUUCUUGCUUAAUAAUGAGACAUUUAUUAAAAAGGGUUACUGUGAGAAUAUGGAGGAUGUCAGGGAUCGAGGGGAUAUAUGUUUAAAUAUUUUCUUGUUUAGUUUCUGCUCCUUAUUCAGCUUUGUGUCAAGUUGUGUUCAUAUACCAACAACGUCAUGUACCUUAAACCUUGUGUCAACAUCAAAUCAUAUAUGUAGCUGUGUGUGCUUUUCAUUUUCCACACCUCUGGGUUUUAUGGAUAACAGGCUUGAGCAAUGUUUUCUCAUUGCAUGGGAAGAAACUCAGGCAUGAAAAUUACCAUCAGACACUGUAUUCAGCUAAAACAUUAGAAAAAUUUGGCAACUUAAAAUUUUAACUAGUGUAUUUCCUUAGCUUUCAAGACAUUUUAAGAAUUUUAAACUUUUCAGACAUCAGCUAACCACAGGAUAUACUGAUAUCAGUUUCCCCCCCAAGAUUGUGAAGGGA